AGUGGUUAGCUCAAUGGUAGAGAUCCCGCUUCGCAUGCAGGAAGACCUGGGUUCGAUUCCCGGCUGCU
rnacentral:tRNA from 1 species